rnacentral:rRNA from 1 species
AUACGUAGGGGGCGAGCGUUGUCCGGAAUGAUUGGGCGUAAAGGGCGCGUAGGCGGCCCGGUAAGUCUGGAGUGAAAGUCCUGUUUUUAAGAUGGGAAUUGCUUUGGAUACUGUCGGGCUUGAGUGCAGAAGAGGUAAGUGGAAUUCCCUGUGUAGCGGUGAAAUGCGUAGAGAUUGGGAGGAACACCAGUGGCGAAGGCGGCUUACUGGACUGUAACUGACGCUGAGGCUCGAAAGUGUGGGGAGCAAACAGGAUUAGAUACCCUGGUAGUCCACGCUGUAAACGAUGAAUGCUAGGUGUAGGGGGUAUCGACCCCUUCUGUGCCGCAGUCAACACAAUAAGCAUUCCGCCUGGGGAGUACGGCCGCAAGGUUGAAACUCAAAGGAAUUGACGGGG